rnacentral:pre_miRNA from 1 species
UUACUACUCCCUCCGUCCCAAAAUUCUUGUCUUAAAUUUGUCUAGAUACGGAUGUGCCUAAUACUAAAACGUGACUUGAUACAUCCGUAUUUGGACAAAUCUAAGACAAGAAUUUUGGGAUGGAGGGAGUACAUU